UCUUGUCAACCUCAGCACUAUACCAGGAAAGUCAACACAGCAGUCAAAUCCUGCCUGGCCGACGGACUGAGGAGUUGAGGAGUAGGGGUGUGGAGCAACAGGAAGGCCUGAUCAGGUGGCUGCAUCAGAUGAUUCACUGCCUUACCUCACCGACUCGACUCACACAGUCUGUCAGCUGCUACCUUUAAAGAAACAAAACGGGGGUCCGACAAAAGUUCUGCUCAAAACGUUGUGCUAAUUACCUAACAACACAACAGAAAACAUGUCCACAAGGAAGAAGUUGCUACGGAGACACACCACCAAGGAGCUUUCGCAAAGCAAGCCAAUUUACCCCAGAUGACGUGAGAAGGGCCACUUAGGUGCAACGAAGUAAGUAUAAAAUGUGUGUGUGUGUUUGUGUGUUGUGUGUGUACCUGACAUGUAAAUGUGUGUGUAUGUGUAUGUGUGUGUGUUUGCAUGUUGUGUGUGUACCUGUCAUGUAAGUGUGUGCAUGGGUAUAAUGACUCAGAAUGUAAAAUUCAUUGCCAUUCCAAGCCACAGCCCACCCUGUGCUGUUCUAAUUCUAAUGGCCGAAUAUCAUUGGGAGGUCUGUGUGAUUGCCUGGCCUUUCGUGAUGGUCCUCCACACUGCCCGUGACCAGAUCUUUCCCCCCUCCCAUAGUGACAAUGAAAUGGCAGCAACCUUUUCUGCCAGCCAUUGGCAGCUUCACAGGGAUGACUCCUCAUUGGCCAAGCCUGGCAGCUGCCCCCGACCAAUCGCAGCGCUUGUAUCCAUGAGAACGAAGCUUGUGGAGCUAUUUAAAUCUAGUCAGAGUGCACAAGACUGCUUAUAUGUGCAUCUUACUUUCAGAGAGAGGGAGAGAGAGAGAGGAAGACAAGAGGAAAAAGAGAGGACUUUUGAUUUGUUUUUGUUCCUUUAAAUGGGAAUGUUUAAUGUCCAGCCCAGCAGACAAAUCUGACGAGAGUCUGCACGACUGGCUUGACCUGCAGUCGCAGGUUUAAACCGACCUGGUACAGACUCGGAUGUGGUGGCCGCGUUACUGUGUACUUUAUUUUGUUCUGUUAUGGUCUCUUACCCUCUCAGCUUCUCUCUCUACAUGACUGUAUGUAUGAGUGUGUGUGUGUGUGUGUGUGUGUGUGGGUGGGUGUAUGUGUGUGUGUGCGUACUGGUAGUAGAACUGGCGUGUGUGUUUGUACCGAUGCCUUCUCUGCCCGUCCUGUCUGAAUGGGGGGCUAACAGUGGGCAUUGGCAGGACGGUGAAAUCGAGUGGACAGAUUGCAAAGCCGGAGGACCGCACAAGAGUGGAAGGGCACAGAGGAAUCAGGUCUGUGAAACACAUACAUACACACACACACACAGAGUUUUAAAAGACUACACCUUGUGGAAGACGGGGGCAAUUGUGUACUGUACCAACGUGACGUGGGUCUUCCGCCAUUUUGUCUCUUGCUCGUUUAAUUGCUGCGUCACUUUCUCGCGGAUCCUCAAAUGGUGGCCAAAAAGGUAAAUCUUCUGGCUGUUAAUGCCUGGGCCGUGACGCACUUUUAGAAAAUGCUUUUUGCUGCCUGCCUGGAAUUUAAAAACAAAUCAAGAAAUGUAUCUGUAAGUGUUAAGAGCACUGUACUAUAUCAAUCAAGUUUUAAAAUGCAUGUUUAACAGACCGAAAAAAAUAAAAAGCAUUCCCUUCCGCCAUGACAUGCACAAUAUACUACAAGUGAUCUUCUUGGUGCAUUGUAAACAACAACAACUUAAUAGAUGCAUGCAUUUGUAAAAUACAUUCAUACUCUUCAAGCCCCUGAACUAUACUUACAAGUGUGUCAUUCCUGUUUAAUGUAACAUAAAUGUGUUCAUUUUGAGCUGUCCAAGGACAAGGACAAAAAGCAAGAAGCUGAAAAUGGAGGAAGAGAUGCGAUGCUUUGGAGAUGAAUGCAAUAAGCGAUCUUACUUUUCUCAAAGGCCAUUUUGUAUAUGUGUGUAUGUCAGCGAGUGGGCAUUACAGCAGUUCCAGUUUGGUGACUGAGUGAACAACGUUGUACUUACUAGUUUACAAUAUCUGCAACGGCAGAGAUCUCUGUGAUUUGAACAGUUUUCAUGGGACAGUUCAGCACAUGAUUACAAGCCGUUGAUCCAUCAUGCUACCAUGAGAGUCAUCAGCAAACAGCAUGUGCAUGUUAACAGUUCAAUAAUCUGCUGUAGGGAUGCGACAACUAGUCGAUUACUCCAUACUAGAAUAUUUUCCCAUUAGUUGCCCUCUAUGACAGUAGGCUCUUUGGCAUGUGGACAAAACAAGGCGUUUGAGGACCAGUCUUGGGUUUUGGGGAAAUAAUUAUCGUCAUUUGCCAUUUUUUGACAGUUUAUUGGUCAAACAAAUAUUUGAUUAAUAGGGGGAAAAAAAUGAUUAAUCUUCUGAAAAUAAUCAUUCGUUUCAGCCCUAAUCUGUUGUGUGCUUGCUGUGUGUGUGUGUGUGUGUGUGUGUGUGUGUGUGUGUGUGUGUGUGUGUGUUAGGAACAAUUUCAAUAUAAUUCUGUUUAUUAUGUGCAUGAAUUACAUUUUGUUUAAAAUUGUUUUUGCUUUCUUGUAGCUGUCAAUAGUGCCAAUAAAAUUCUCCCCAUUCUAUACACAAA